GCAGAUGCUAGGCUGCGGGCCUCGGCGCCAUAUUUAGUGCUGGCCGGGACGACUGCGUCUCCGGGCGUCUAGGAAGUAGCUGCGUGCGGUCCGCGCCAUGUUAAGUCGGGGCAAAGGAACGGAGUAUUUUGAGGACUGGGCGCCGAGACCAAUUGAUUCUCAAAGCCGCGUUGGAAGUGCGCAGACGCACGAGAGGUUCAGCAAGUCUAACAGAUUCCCAGGAGAAAUGAAGAGUCGUGUUAAAGCUUAAGAUACGUUUCUACCCCAUUGCUGUAACUCUUCACAGAGCUACAAGUGUCGUGAGUAGUUUCAGGUCAACACUGUCCACUUUUAUGGUUUAAUGGGGAAACCCUCUCAGGCAAAAGUGUGCCGUUUGAUACCUGCACUCAGGCAGUAACUAAAGCAGAGACCUGACUGUACGAAUGGAUGGAAGGCAUUAAGACAUGAAAGGAAGCCAAGGACAGCUGUGUCCCUAGACAGAGCACUGACCAUGGGCAUGUGGAAUCCAGGCCUGGCGCUGCCUGUGAUCUUGGCGAGAUGCUGCCCAUCUGAUUGACGGUGCUGGAUUAGAUCGAAAGCUCCACUUCAUGCUCGUCCCCCACUGCCCCAAAACGUCCUUGAGUGUCUCCUGAAGGCAGAUCUACAGGUUUUCCAAGCCACACAUACCUACACCUAAUAAUGCAUGUGAUGGUGCCUGGACAUCUGUGAUUGAAAUACUUCCCAAGGUCUGAGUUCUUACAGCACAAUGCUCAGUGGGUAGAGAUUGCAGAAAAGGCUGGGAGACAAGGAACACUCGCUGGAGGUGAAGAGAGCG